rnacentral:rRNA from 1 species
GCUGACACCUGCCCGGUGCUGGAAGGUUAAGAGGAGAGCUUAGCGCAAGCGAAGGUUUGAAUUGAAGCCCCAGUAAACGGCGGCCGUAACUAUAACGGUCCUAAGGUAGCGAAAUUCCUUGUCGGGUAAGUUCCGACCUGCACGAAAGGUGUAAUGAUUUGGGCACUGUCUCAACGAGAGACUCGGUGAAAUUAUAAUACCCGUGAAGAUGCGGGUUACCCGCGACAGGACGGAAAGACCCCAUGGAGCUUUACUG